UACGGAGGAUCCGAGCGUUAUCCGGAUUUAUUGGGUUUAAAGGGUGCGUAGGCGGCCUUGUAAGUCAGGGGUGAAAGACGGUAGCUUAACUAUCGCAGUGCCUUUGAUACUGCAGGGCUUGAAUGUACUUGAGGUAGGCGGAAUGUGACAAGUAGCGGUGAAAUGCAUAGAUAUGUCACAGAACACCAAUUGCGAAGGCAGCUUACUAAAAGUAUGAUUGACGCUGAGGCACGAAAGCGUGGGGAUCAAACAGGA
rnacentral:rRNA from 1 species